rnacentral:misc_RNA from 1 species
UUUCCGUAGGUGAACCUGCGGAAGGAUCAUUAAUGAGUUGUCAUGGGGUUCGAUGCUGGCAGCCAGUUUUUGGAUGCAUGUGCUUGCCCUAACAAUCAUCUUCUUCCAAACACCUGUGCACAUUUUUGAGGGAGUCUUGAGUUGGUUGCCGCUCUUGGGUGAUUUUCUCACAUUCCCCUACAUCAUUAUACGCUAUUAACAAUGUUGAACGUGCUCUGUGCCGCAAGGCCAUUAAUAUAAUACAACUUUUAACAACGGAUCUCUUGGCUCUC